rnacentral:rRNA from 1 species
UACGUAGGGGCCAAGCGUUGUCCGGAUUUAUUGGGCGUAAAGAGCUCGUAGGCGGUUGGGUAAGUCGGGCGUGAAAACUCCAGGCUCAACUUGGAGAUGCCACCCGAUACUGCUCUGACUUGAGUUCGGUAGGGGAGUGGGGAAUUCCUGGUGUAGCGGUGAAAUGCGCAGAUAUCAGGAGGAACACCGGUGGCGAAGGCGCCACUCUGGGCCGAAACUGACGCUGAGGAGCGAAAGCGUGGGUAGCAAACAGG